CGUGCGCUGAGCGGGGCGGGGACGGCUGAGGUGCGGCCGGCGGAGGCGCGGCCGGGACCGGAUCGGGCGCCCAUUCGCGCGCUUCUCAGGCUGCGCCGGGCGCUUCCGCCAGGAGGCGACGCAGCGUGAGGCCAGCGGCGGCCGCCAGAGGCGGGGACCCCAGGCGGGCUCCCCAGGACGACCUUACCUGGGCCUGACCGCCACCCCACCGCGAGGGCGGGGAGUCCGGAAUCUCGGGCCUGAGCAAGUGAAAGUCCCAGUAGAUGGCUCCGGGUCGAAUCUUCACUCCUAAGUACCUGCACCUCCUUUCUGAAUCCUCGUUCUCCGUUUUGCCUUCUUCCUUCCCAAUCCUAAAUCUGGACCGAUCAGAGGAGAUAAUCUUGGAAGGAAAGUCGUUUCUUCAUAAAUAGCACCUUUCUGCGCGUCUGGGGCGAGUCACUAGAGUCAGGCCUAACAUGUCCAGCAAUGGAGUAAAUAGCAACUGGUGGAGCCAGGCCAGUGUGUGAACUCCUGGGCUUUCCAAGGAUCUCCACCUACACCACAACCACAUCCUG
rnacentral:lncRNA from 1 species